UACAGUCAUAUCACGUCGAAAAACUGGUUUUCUUUCGAUCACCGAAGUUAAGCAACAUCGAGCCUGGUCAGUACAUAGAUAGAUGACCGCUUGCGAAUACCAGGUGCUAUA